AAAAUGGGUGGAACCCGUGAGUUUCCUCGGACAGGCUAAUGCUCUGAUGAGGAAAAACUUGUGUUACCAGAAACGCAAUUUAGGGAUGAUCUUGAAACUUCUGGCAUUCCCAAUCAUUAUGUGUUUGCUGCUUGCUCAAAUCCAGAGGAUGAUCAAUACAUUUACAACUAAGAUUGAUGGACUAUCACAGUGUCAAUGUGAUUGUUCCAACCCAGAG